AAGUAAUUAUACAAAUAAUAUGGAAUAAUAAAACCUAAUAUUAAUGAAUAAUAAUCCAAUUUGAUAAAAAAAAAUCCUAAUAUAAAACAUGGUGAUGAAUAAUAAUCCAAUUUGAUAAUAAUCCAAUUUAAUGAAUAAUCCAAUUUAAUGAAUAAUCCAAUUUGAUAAUAAUCCAAUUUAAUGAAUAAUCCAAUUUAAUGAAGAAUAAUCCAAUUUGAUAAU
rnacentral:lncRNA from 1 species